AGGAAAAUAGUUCAGUCGGUAGAAUAGUGGUUUCCAAAACCAAAGGUCAAGGGUUCAAGUCCCUUUUUUCCUG
rnacentral:tRNA from 1 species